UACGGAGGGUGCAAGCGUUAAUCGGAAUUACUGGGCGUAAAGCGCGCGUAGGCGGCUAAGUCAGUCGGAUGUGAAAUCCCUGGGCUCAACCUGGGAACUGCAUACGAUACUGCUUGGCUAGAGUGUGGGAGAGGGUGGUGGAAUUCCCGGUGUAGCGGUGAAAUGCGUAGAUAUCGGGAGGAACAUCAGUGGCGAAGGCGACCGCCUGGCCCAACACUGACGCUGAGGUGCGAAAGCGUAGGUAGCAAACAGG
rnacentral:rRNA from 1 species